GAUGAAGAACGUAGCGAAAUGCGAUACUUGGUGUGAAUUGCAGAAUCCCGUGAACCAUCGAGUCUUUGAACGCAAGUUGCGCCCGAAGCCAUUAGGCCGAGGGCACGCCUGCCUGGGCGUCACACGUCGUUGCCCCCCCAUCUACUCCUUCGGGAUUGCGGGGGGGCGGAUGAUGGCCUCCCGUGCGCCUAGCCGCGCGGUUGGCAUAAAUACCAAGUCCUCGGCGACGCACGCCACGACAAUCGGUGGUUGCGAAACCUCGGUUGCCCGUCGUGUGCGUUCGUCGCGCAUCGAGGGCUCGAAAAAAUGCUCGGCUCCGGCUGGGCUUUCAACGCGACCCCAGGUCAGGCGGGGUUACCCGCUGAAUUUAAGCAUAUCAAUAAGCGGAGGA
rnacentral:misc_RNA from 1 species